AGUGCCUUGGCAUUUAGAAAAAGCUCCGUAUAUAUUGAUUGAAUAAAUGUUACACCAGGCAGAUAAUUAGAUACGAGCAGAGAAGGGGAUACGGGGCUAGAUAGCAGGAAACCGUGCAUCAGGGGUCCAUGGGCAAAGGAAGGAAAACCAGAACCUCCAGACUGAUAGGAAACCACACAUUUUGGGGAGAUACGUGCCCUUGGAGGCAAAGAAAGGUGGAAAAGGCUGUGCAUCUCCACUAUCUGAAUGUAACCUAUUGUUCUUUAUGCCCUAAUUAUAAUAAAAUUAGACAUGCAGAUAAGAAGUACCCAUCAUGCCCCCACACUAUGACACUUCCCUUAAAGCUAAAUGAGGUCAAAAAUCCCUCCUCCCUUUGGGAAGGUGGAGUUGUAAUGAAAAUUAGGGAAUAAGACCCCCAAGCCCCACCUUCCCAGUGAAUAUCUCUCCUGUGCAAUCGGAUGUCCCUCAUAACCAGUGUGCCAGAAAAACACAGGGCAGCUGCCAGCCUUCCCCAGCCUCUCUUUAAGAGGUGUGUUUGUCACUUAAAUAAAUCUUACUUUUUCGUUCUCAAUUACCGUCUUGUUUCCAAAUGAAUUCCUUCUGUAGCAGGACAAGAACCUAACCCUCAGGUACAUAAACAGAGAAGGAUUUCACGGACUUGAGCAAUAUAGAGUCAGAGUUUUGUUUUCUUUUGUUUAUUUUGUUUGGUUUUGCCUGGUUUUCUGCAGUGUGAAGAAGGGGAUAAGGACGAGCAUGGGCUAAAGCAUGGGUUGGGUGAUGCCAAGCGGAAGGAGCCACUUCUGCCACGGCUGUGGGAGGAGAUAAAGAGGGUAAGUGGACGAGAACAUGGAGCAAAGGCGGGAGAAAGACGCGAGGCGGGAGCGGAGAAGGCAAGACGAGAAAAUAAGAAGAAAUGAGAGAAAUAGCUAGAAGAAAAGGGGGUAUAAUCAAAAGGAGAAUGAAGAGAAAGAGGAGAAGGAGGAUGAGAAGCAAAAAGAGAAAAAUAAUAGGAACGUGAUAGUAGUUUUUACACUUUAUAAAUAUUUGUAUAUAUCUGUAUAAAUGACAAAUUUAUAACCACUUAAACCAUACAACUUUUGCUCUUUUCUUCUCUGCUUUAAGGUGAUAAAUACUUUGUUUAAAAUCCUAGAAAUUAUUCUUAUAAUCAGCUACACAUGCUUUAACAUUUCAUUUUCUUCUGAUCCCAAAGAUCCCCAGCUACAGCUAUACAGGCACACAGGUAUACAGCUAUACAGGUAUCCAGGUAUACAGCUAUACAGGUAUCCGGGCAUACAGGUAUGCAUGCUCCUAUGCAAUAUCCUGCAUGUAUGGUGGACUUAGGGACACUUCUAAGGAGUAAGUGCCCACGUGUAAGGCAAAGACUAGACUUUUUAAAAAGGGCCGUGUGACACUGUACCAUCUAUCUCCCAGAUCAUUCACUCUGAGGGAGGUAUGUCAUGAACAGUCCAUUGGAGAGGGGAACACGGCCAGGUACUGAAGCCUCCUGCCAACAGCCACGUGAGUGUGGGAGUAGAUCCUCCAGACCUGAUUGAGUCUUCAGGAACUGCAGCCCUAGCCAGCAGGGUGCCUGCAACCUCAUGAGAGAAUCAGCUGGAACCGUCUGACCAAGCCAUGCCUAUAGAUCAUUGGUCCUUAAUGAAUAAGAUACAAAGUUCACAAUUUAAUGGGAUAACAAGGAUUAAGCUGCUGAGUUUGGGGGCAAUUUGCUGCAUAUCAAUUGAUAACAAAUAUGAAUACAGGAUUCGUAUCCCAGAGUCUGAAAGGUUUAGUCAGGCAUAAGCGUAGAUACUUAAAAAUGGUAUCUGGCUAAUUUAUUUAUUCCUUAAUUUUCUUACUCAACAAAUAAAUCAAGCAUCCCAUGUAUACUCCGGGGAGGCGAGACGAACCAGACUCCUUCCUUUCUUAUAGCCCGCAUGUGAAGUUUGUCAUGAUCACCUGAGGAAAUUGUGAGUAAAUUCACUGGCAGUACCUAUAAUGUUCCAGGCAGAGUAAAGAGGUAGGAAAUACCUGGGAGGAAUCCUCUGGUGCCAGAAGUUGUUUCAAACUCUCGGUGAAAAGAGGCCAAUUACCCCUUAAUAUUCCGAAAAUAUAUUAUUUCCUCAACUCAGAAAUUUUUUUCAACUUCUUUUUAGAGAAACUUUGAAAACCAGGGAAUAGCAAUGAAUAUAGCUGACACCACCUUAGGCUACAUGUUAUAACUGCUAAUUUACGGGAAAAUCUUUACCUCUUCUGUAAUUAUGGGCUCACUCCAUUCUAAAGUUAAUUGCUUAGUGCCUCCAUCACACGAAGCCACAUCAGACUCUUGAUAGGACGUGGCCUCUAUAACAGACUCACAGACAUAGAGAACAGACUUGUGGUUACCAAGGGGGAGGCAGGAGGAAGUGGGAUGGACUUGGAGUUUGGGGUUGGUAGAUGCAAACUAUGACCUUGAGAAUGGAUAAGCAAUGAGGUCCUGAUGUAUGGCACAGAGAACCAUAUCCAGUCUCUUGGGAUGGACCAUGAUGGAAGAUAAGAUAAGAAAAGGAAUGUGUGUGUGUGCCUGUGUGUGAGAGAGAGAGAGACUGGGUCACUUUGCUGCAUGGCAGAAAUCGUUACAACAUUGUAAGUCAACCAUACCUUAAUAAAAAUUAAAAGACAUGCUUUCGGUGAUUAUGGACAUAAUUUUAUUCAUUAAUUUUUUUCUAAGGAUCCAAAAAGCUCCCGACACUGAACUGGGUCUUGAGGGUAAUGUAAUGAGUUAGACACAAAGGCAUAAUUUACUUAAGGUUUCACUAGCAUCGGUGUUCAACUCAGCGAUGGAGAAAUGCUGAGGACCCAGGGUGUCCCGAAAAAGCUCGGGAGAUUAGAGAAAUAAUCAGCAGAUAAAGCUGAUUAGAAAAAUAAUCAGCAGAUAAAGCUCGGAAUGCAUCUGAUAGCUGUAGGGUUCACCAGGAAAACUUUUAGGUGGCAGAAUUUCCACCAGAGGAAAUGAUGUUGACGAAAGCACAGGAGAACAAAGACACGCAGUGGCGUCAUUGUUUGAGAAUCUACAAGAGGUUCACUAAGUCAGGGAUAAAUGUUCCAAGGCUUUGAGUAAAGAAAGUUCAUGGGGGGGGAAGGGUGGUGUCCAUAUUUAGCAUCAGAAGUCCUUGCAGAGAGGACGGUUGAUAACAGAAUGGACACGUCUCAAUCUGCACAAUCGCAGCUCCGAAAAUGACCUUCUCAGAGGAGACAUUCUAGUCUGCAAAAUGCUUGAGAUGUUUUGUAUAUGGCACAGGUUUUUUGAAUGGAUGCUGCUCAACACAGCUAAUACGUGAAGAUGCUGAAUAUUAUCUUUUUAGUGAACAACCAUGGGGGGCUUUUGAGUUUGUUGCCCUAGAACCACUCAGCUGACUUGUAAACUCUGUCUCUGAAUUCAGUAGCUCUCAACAAGGGGUGCUUUUGUCCCUCGGAGGACAUUGCACCAUGUCUGGUCAAUUAGGUUAAGACCAGUGGUGAUGCUGAUUAUCUUACAAUGAAUAAGACAUCUCAUGACAACAAAGAAUUAUCCAGCAAAAAAUGUUAACAGCACUGUGGUCCAGAAACUCUGCCCUAACAAAAGGUCUAAAAAAGUUAGGAAUUAGAGGAUUUAAAUAAAGAUUUCUGAAGAGAAGCAUUGGAAAGAGCUGUCUUCCCCCCACCCCAUACUGCACACCCAAAGGAAAGGGGUACAGAAUACACCCCACUUUACCUCGAGUGAAAAAGAGACGGACCGUAAGGAUUCUGCUCAGGUCACAUACGUCCUCUGAGAUUUUGGAAAAGAGACUUAGCCGACGGGUCCCUUACUUAUGCCUGGAAAUCUAAACGGAGCAUCAAAAGUUACCCUGCUGUGCUGAAAGCAGGAUUGAAUAGGAGACUGUUGCUGUUUUGCAGGAGAGCAUUGGUUGCUCUACAGGACGGCUGACUAUUUCCUGGAUGAGCUGCAUGCUGGAGAGAGCUGGUGUAACGCUGCCUUAGAUCCUAACCAGAAGAAUGUAUGAUUCUACAAAGGGGUAAAGAAAGAACUAGCCUUCUCAAUACAUUUAAAAGGGUGAGAAAAGUAAAAUUGUUACUCUCUGAUUAUACUUUAAUUGUUGGACUAGGUCAACAUGUCACAUAAUUCUAGGAUUUUAAGAAAGCCAUGAGCUCCUCUUUUAUGUGCCUGCACAAGGUCCCCAGAAGCUGGGCUGCACGGAGUAGAGAAUUGCUCUGGCACUUGGCUGAGUUCUUUCUCAGCUCAAAGAGCGUGUGCUUUAUUCUCAGGAGUCAGGAACGUCCUCCAGAGACCACAACCUUCCUGAUGAACCUGCAUCCACCACGUCAGCAUCGCUGCUGCCCCUCCUGGGGCUUAGAGGGAGACAUAAAAGAGGCAGGCGCGCGUGCACAUUCGCAGAGCGCGAGAAGGAUGUGUUGCUCUGUGGGUGUCUCUCAGCUGCCUGUCUUCUGAUAAGAAGGGAUCUAUCUGGACUUCCCAUUGUGGCUUGAACCCAACUAGUAUUCAUGAGAAGGGGGCUUCGGCCCCUGGCCUCGCUCCGUGGGUUGAAGAUCCAAUGCUGUCACAAGUUGCACAGUAGGUCGCAGAUGUGCCUUGGACCCGGGGUUGCUGUGGCUGUGGUGGAGGCCUGCAGCUCUGAUUCCACUCCUAGCCUGGGAACCUCCAUAUGUUGCAGUAGUCAGGAACGUCCUCCAGAGACCACAACCUUCCUGAUGAAGCUGCAUCCACCACGUCAGCAUCGCUGCUGCCCCUCCUGGGGCUUAGAGGGAGACAUAAAAGAGGCAGGUGCGCGUGCACAUUCGCAGAGCGCGAGAAGGAUGUGUUGCUCUGUGGGUGUCUCUCAGCUGCCUGUCUUCUGCAACUCUGCCAGUGAAAAACGGAUGUCCACAGUUUCCUCCAGAUCCCACUGCCCCUUCUUCUCACAGGACAACACACAUUCUGAUUCAAACCAGCUCAGGGAAAGCUUUCAUUAGUCAUUUACACCUCUGAAUUAAAUGAUAUUUUUAAGAAAAAAUGAAAAACUUCCAGUAGUUUUCACGAA
rnacentral:lncRNA from 9 species